GAUGAAGAACGCAGCGAAAUGCGAUAAGUAAUGUGAAUUGCAGAAUUCAGUGAAUCAUCGAAUCUUUGAACGCACAUUGCGCCCCUUGGUAUUCCGAGGGGCAUGCCUGUUCGAGCGUCAUUAUAACCCCUCAAGCUCAGCUUGGUGUUGGGGCCUGCUGCACUGGCAGCCCUUAAAAUCAGUGGCGGCGCCAUCUGGCUCUAAGCGUAGUAAUUCUUCUCGCUAUGGAGUCCUGGUGGUUGCUUGCCAUCAACCCCCAAUUUUUCUAUGGUUGACCUCGGAUCAGGUAGGGAUACCCGCUGAACUUAAGCAUAUCAAUAAGCGGAGGA
rnacentral:misc_RNA from 1 species